rnacentral:lncRNA from 1 species
GUUCUCCUUAUAAUUUCAUUUUAUUAUGUAUAGGUUUUGUGAAACUGAAAAAAGUUGGUUUUACAGUCAUUAUAUUUUAACUUACAUAUCCAUGUGCUAUAUUCUUAUUGUAAAAUGUUAUGAAUUAACUCAGGACAUUAGAAGAAUUUUUAUAGUAAGCAUAGAUAUGUUUUUCUUUUGGGUAAUAUUGGAAAAAUGUCAUAAUCUAUGUUUCUGAAAGAUCUAUAAGGAAAUCUGUUUUAUGUUUUUUGUGCCGAAGGCUUUCUUUUUAAUAUCAACCUAGACGAAAAUUUCUGUUCUAUCUUUCUGUUAUACCAGAUGUACUUAAAAAGCACAUCGUUCUAAUGUAUAUCUGUCAUUGUAUAUCUGUCUAGAAAGUAGCACAUUAUUAUAAUGCUUCCUAGUUUUUAAUAU